GAUGAACGCUGGCGGCGUGCUUAACACAUGCAAGUCGAACGAAGCACUUUAACUUGAUUUCUUCGGAUUGAUUGUUAUUGUGACUGAGUGGCGGACGGGUGAGUAACGCGUGGGUAACCUGCCUCAUACAGGGGGAUAACAGUUGGAAACGGCUGCUAAUACCGCAUAAGCGCACGGUAUCGCAUGAUACAGUGCGAAAAACUCCGGUGGUAUGAGAUGGACCCGCGUCUGAUUAGCUAGUUGGCGGAGUAACGGCCCACCAAGGCAACGAUCAGUAGCCGACCUGAGAGGGUGACCGGCACAUUGGGACUGAGACACGGCCCAAAACUCCUAACGGGAGGCAGCAGCGGGAAUAUUGCACAAUGGGCGAAAGCCUGAUGCAGCGACGCCGCGUGAGCGAUGAAGUAUUUCGGUAUGUAAAGCUCUAUCAGCAGGANAAGAAUGACGGUACCUGACUAAGAAGCACCGGCUAAAUACGUGCC
rnacentral:rRNA from 1 species